GACGAACGCUGGCGGCGUGCUUAACACAUGCAAGUCGAACGGAAAGGCCCUGCUUUUGUGGGGUGCUCGAGUGGCGAACGGGUGAGUAACACGUGAGUAACCUGCCCUUGACUUUGGGAUAACUUCAGGAAACUGGGGCUAAUACCGGAUAGGAGCUCCUGCUGCAUGGUGGGGGUUGGAAAGUUUCGGCGGUUGGGGAUGGACUCGCGGCUUAUCAGCUUGUUGGUGGGGUAGUGGCUUACCAAGGCUGUGACGGGUAGCCGGCCUGAGAGGGUGACCGGCCACAUUGGGACUGAGAUACGGCCCAGACUCCUACGGGAGGCAGCAGUGAGGAAUAUUGCACAAUGGGCGGAAGCCUGAAGCAGCAACGCCGCGUGCGGGAUGAAGGCCUUCGGGUGGUAAACCGCUUUCGCCUGUGACGAAGCGUGAGUGACGGUAAUGGGUAAAGAAGCACCGGCUAACUACGUG
rnacentral:rRNA from 1 species